rnacentral:rRNA from 1 species
GACGAACGCUGGCGGCGUGCUUAACACAUGCAAGUCGAACGGAAAGGCCCUGCUUUUGUGGGGUGCUCGAGUGGCGAACGGGUGAGUAACACGUGAGUAACCUGCCCUUGACUUUGGGAUAACUUCAGGAAACUGGGGCUAAUACCGGAUAGGAGCUCCUGCUGCAUGGUGGGGGUUGGAAAGUUUCGGCGGUUGGGGAUGGACUCGCGGCUUAUCAGCUUGUUGGUGGGGUAGUGGCUUACCAAGGCUUUGACGGGUAGCCGGCCUGAGAGGGUGACCGGCCACAUUGGGACUGCGAUACGGCCCAGACUCCUACGGGAGGCAGCAGUGGGGAAUAUUGCACAAUGGGCGGAAGCCUGAUGCAGCAACGCCGCGUGCGGGAUGACGGCCUUCGGGUUGUAAACCGCUUUCGCAUGUGACGAAGCGUGAGUGACGGUAAUGGGUAAAGAAGCACCGGCUAACUACGUG